GUUCUUGUAGCGCAAUGGAUAGCGCGUUGGACUUCUAAUCCAAAGGUCAUGGGUUCAAAUACCACCUGGGAUG
rnacentral:tRNA from 1 species